rnacentral:rRNA from 1 species
AGUGAACGCUGGUGGUAGGCCUAACACAUGCAAGUCGAACGGCAGCACAGUAAGAGCUUGCUCUUACGGGUGGCGAGUGGCGGACGGGUGAGGAAUACAUCGGAAUCUACUUUUUCGUGGGGGAUAACGUAGGGAAACUUACGCUAAUACCGCAUACGACCUACGGGUGAAAGCAGGGGAUCUUCGGACCUUGCGCGAUUGAAUGAGCCGAUGUCGGAUUAGCUAGUUGGCGGGGUAAAGGCCCACCAAGGCGACGAUCCGUAGCUGGUCUGCGAGGAUGAUCAGCCACACUGGAACUGAGACACGGUCCAGACUCCUACGGGAGGCAGCAGUGGGGAAUAUUGGACAAUGGGCGCAAGCCUGAUCCAGCCAUACCGCGUGGGUGAAGAAGGCCUUCGGGUUGUAAAGCCCUUUUGUUGGGAAAGAAAAGCAGCAGGUUAAUACCCCGCUGUUCUGACGGUACCCAAAGAAUAAGCACCGGCUAACUUCGUG